UACGAAGGGGGCUAGCGUUGCUCGGAAUCACUGGGCGUAAAGCGCACGUAGGCGGACUCUUAAGUCGGUGGUGAAAUCCUGGAGCUCAACUCCGGAACUGCCUUCGAUACUGAGAGUCUCGAGUCCGAGAGAGGUGAGUGGAACUGCGAGUGUAGAGGUGAAAUUCGUAGAUAUUCGCAAGAACACCAGUGGCGAAGGCGGCUCACUGGCUUGGUACUGACGCUGAGGUGCGAAAGCGUGGGGAGCAAACAGG
rnacentral:rRNA from 1 species